rnacentral:lncRNA from 1 species
UGAUUGGGGCCAGGGAGCUACAGGCGUUUGGACAGACAAGCCUGAAGAGUGAGCGACUGUGUCCCACUAUGCCGUUCCGGGAGGACAGAACAGAAGGCCCGGCCACCGAUGCGCAGGCGUGAUCCUCUGUCGGGUCCCUUUCCUUACAGCCUAGGAAUCCAGCUAGGCUCUGUGCCCCGCAUGGAGCACAACGCAGGGCUCGAACUCACCACCCUGAGAUCAAGACCUGA